UACAGAGGUCUCAAGCGUUUGUUCGGAUUCAUUGGGCGUAAAGGGUGCGUAGGUGGCGCUGUAAGUCGGGUGUGAAAUUUCGGAGCUUAACUCCGAAACUGCAUUCGAUACUGCGGUGCUUGAGGACUGGAGAGGAGACUGGAAUUCAUGGUGUAGCAGUGAAAUGCGUAGAGAUCAUGAGGAAGACCAGUGGCGAAGGCGGGUCUCUGGACAGUUCCUGACACUGAGGCACGAAGGGCCAGGGGAGCAAACGGG
rnacentral:rRNA from 1 species